GGCUAUAUAGUUGAAGACAAUAUUUAAUUGCAGAUUAAAAGGGGUAUUAUUACUAUAGUCU
rnacentral:tRNA from 1 species